UACAGGGGGUGCAAACGUUGCUCGGAAUUACUGGGCGUAAAGGGCGCGUAGGCGGCCAUCUAAGUCAGACGUGAAAUCCCCCGGCUUAACCUGGGAACUGCGUCUGAUACUGGAAGGCUCGAGUUUGGGAGAGGGAUGUGGAAUUCCAGGUGUAGCGGUGAAAUGCGUAGAUAUCUGGAGGAACACCGGUGGCGAAGGCGGCAUCCUGGACCAACACUGACGCUGAGGCGCGAAAGCUAGGGGAGCAAACGGG
rnacentral:rRNA from 1 species